AAGUAGAGGUGGGGCCAACUAGGAGAAAUCUUGAAGAGAUCGGAGAAUUGGGGGGAAAAACUAGAGGGGGACCAACUUUGGAGAUCGGAGAAUUAUAGAGAUCGGGAUAUUAGAGAUCGGGGAUGAUAGAGAUGGGGGUGGAGAGCUAGAUUUAGAACCGGGAAGAGGAGAUAAAGAAAAAACAACGUGAUAUGGGUGGGUUUGAAAGGAGGUAACAAUCAUAUUAAUUAAUUAGGAAAAAAUUUAAAAAAAAGGCGUAUUUCGUCAUAGUGUAAGACUGGGGCAAGGCGGAGAGGUCGGCGGUGGGUGGUCCUGAAAUAAAACAUUUAGCUGAAAAAUUAUCGGAAUAACAACUUACAGUCAGUGGCUUAGGCAAUUGCCUUACUUUCUCCAAUUGAACACGAUGAAACCGCGCUGAAAAUAUAUUAAUUAUUAAAAUUAUUCGAUAAAAAAGCUCGAAAAACAAAAAUAAAACUGUAUCUGAUAAUGGAUGAUUAGGUACAGUAGAGCAACGAACGCUCUAUCCGCGGAAAAAGGUGAUUUUGGAAGAAGUUAGUGAAUUGUAACCAACAUAUUUGAUUUUAGAAAAAUUCGGAGAAUAUUUUAAGCAAAAAAAUAUCGAAAAUCGAUGGGAAACUGAAGAAAAUCGAAUCGAAAAAAGAAAAAUGGGCACACGAAAAGAGAAGAGAGAGAAGAGAGCGAGGUACGGUCACACUCGUUUCAACUGUGUGUGUUUUUUUUCCGUUUUUCGAUUCGAUUUUCUUCAGUUUCCCCUCGAUUUUCGAUAUUUUUUUGCUUAAAAUGUUCUCCGAAUUUUUCUAAAAUCAAAUAUGUUGGUUACAAUUCACUAACUUCUUCCAAAAUCACCUUUUUCCGCGGAUAGAGCGUUCGUUGCUCUACUGUACCUAAUCAUCCAUUAUCAGAUACAGUUUUAUUUUUGUUUUUCGAGCUUUUUUAUCGAAUAAUUUUAAUAAUUAAUAUAUUUUCAGCGCGGUUUCAUCGUGUUCAAUUGGAGAAAGUAAGGCAAUUGCCUAAGCCACUGACUGUAAGUUGUUAUUCCGAUAAUUUUUCAGCUAAAUGUUUUAUUUCAGGACCACCCACCGCCGACCUCUCCGCCUUGCCCCAGUCUUACACUAUGACGAAAUACGCCUUUUUUUUAAAUUUUUUCCUAAUUAAUUAAUAUGAUUGUUACCUCCUUUCAAACCCACCCAUAUCACGUUGUUUUUUCUUUAUCUCCUCUUCCCGGUUCUAAAUCUAGCUCUCCACCCCCAUCUCUAUCAUCCCCGAUCUCUAAUAUCCCGAUCUCUAUAAUUCUCCGAUCUCCAAAGUUGGUCCCCCUCUAGUUUUUCCCCCCAAUUCUCCGAUCUCUUCAAGAUUUCUCCUAGUUGGUCCCACUUCUACUUUUUUCCCCCAACUAGGUAUUUAAAGUUCUCUUCGCAAAAAACAUAUAGAAAUCUCUUCUAAAAAUUCUUAAAAAAUUUUUAAACAUCGAAAAACGAAAAUUUUUCGAUUUUUCGGUUUUCAAAAAAUCGAAAAUUUUUCGUUUUUCGAUUUUUAAAAAAUCGAACAAUCGAAAAAUUUGCGCGGAUUUCGUAAAUUUUUGAGAAAAUACGUAAAAACUCCGUUUUAGAUUCGUUCUUCUCGUGAACGACAGAUAACCGAGCACAUAAUUUAUUGCUGGUUAUGAUACAAAAAUUCUUCCUCUUUCGGAAUAUAAUCUUUCAGAAGAAAAUAAUGAAACAUUUUUUAAUCAGACAACAGGUUUGAAUACUUAUCCAAGUUGAAUUAUUAGAAAAUGUCUGUGAAACAUUUUUUUUUUACAAAAAAAGAAAAUUUAGAAAAUUGUAUGAGUGGGAGCAUUCUCUUAUACGGACAAUGAGAAUUUUGUCAGUAUAAGAGAAAAUUUAGAAAAUUGUAUGAGUGGGAGCUUUUGAAGUACUGCGAAUUCUCUUAUACGGACAAUGAGCACUUUGUCAGUAUAAGAGACACGUAAGCAUGCGAGCAAUAUUUUGUAAGCAUAAGAUCACGUAAGCAUUAGAGCACGCGUAAGAGUUAGAGUGGUAAGAGUUAGAGAACGUACUAUUGGGAGUAUUUGCCUUGGGCUCAAAUAAGCCAUACAAAGUGCUGAACUAUGAAGAAUAAUGCUUCAACAUUACAUUACUUACAAAAAAUCAGGUUGAAAGCAAUAUUUACUGUCGUUCGCCAUAAUGAGACGACGAAUCUUACAGCUCCUCGACUUGGAUCCAACUCCAGAAGCGGGAUCCCCAGUGAAAUCAAUAACUUCAGAACGAUUUAGCCUUCCGCAUUUUCAUUUAUUGAAUUACUAUUUGGUUUGAUACAAUAAAGUGUUGAGAUACAAUAAAGUGCAAAUUGAU
ensembl:lincRNA linc-30 ncRNA